GCUUUCCUAGGUUAAAUGUCUGGUACUGGGCAGGCACAGUAGAGGCAGAGUGCUAUAAAAAAUCCAUGUGGGCUGAAUCCAGCCCAUAGCUGCUUCCAGGAGGCUCCCUGCCCUCCCUGCCAGGGCAGGAACUGGGAGGCUGCCCAAACAGCCAGCUGUUGCCUCUGCAAUAGAUCGAGUCCAGGACAAGAGCUAAAACAUUGCAAGGCUGGAGCCAAGAACAGCCCAUGAACGUGUAUGGGCAUGUUAAAGCCUCAAACCAGCUCACACCAUCAGGGAGCUGGGGCUACCCCAUACCUUGCGCUGCCUCCCAGCUUGAUUGCCACCUUGCCCAGGGCCUUGUCCAGGUCGUCGUGAACCAGGUCCCCACUGUGACACUCCCCAGAAGCUGAAUGGCUGCUGGCCCAGCCAACGCCUGCAAGGUCUGACCAGCACAAGGAUGUACAAGGAGCUCCACAGCUCAUAGCACCAACUCUGCUGGAGAAACCAUCAGUGAAUAAAAGGAAUUUUCAAAACCGUUA